rnacentral:rRNA from 1 species
GAUGAACGCUGGCGGCGCACAUAAGACAUGCAAGUCGAACGAAAAUCGUUAAAAACGGAUUGAAGAUUUAUCAGAUUGAAGUUUUUAACAAUGAUUUUAGUGGCGGACUGGUGAGUAAUACGUAAGCAACCUUCCUAGUAGAGGGGAAUAACAGUGAGAAAUCAUUGCUAAUACCGCAUAUGCUCACAGUACCACAUGGUACAUUGAGGAUAGGAGCAAUCCGCUAUUAUAUGGGCUUACGCCUGAUUAGAUAGUUGGUGGGGUAACGGCCUACCAAGUCAACGAUCAGUAGCCGGACUGAGAGGUUGAACGGCCACAUUGGGACUGAGAUACGGCCCAGACUCCUACGGGAGGCAGCAGUCGGGAAUAUUGCGCAAUGGAGGAAACUCUGACGCAGUGACGCCGCGUGCAGGAAGAAGGUUUUCGGAUUGUAAACUGCUUUAGUCAAGGAAGAUACAAGACAGUACUUGAAGAAUAAGCACCGGCUAACUAUGUGCCAGCAGCCGCGGUAAUACAUAGGGUGCAGCGUUGUCCGGAAUUAUUGGGGUGUAAAGGGUUGCGUAGAUGGAAGGGCAAGUUUGGCUGUGUGAAUUCCCCUCCGGCUUAACCUGGAAGGAAACUGCAACGAACAUACUUUCUUUGUAGAGCGUUGAAGGCAAAGGAAAAUUCUACGUAACUGCUGCUGUAACAGUC